AUUGAACGCUGGCGGAAUGCUUUACACAUGCAAGUCGAGCGGCAGCACGGGGGCAACCCCGGUGGCGAGCGGCGAACGGGUGAGUAAUACAUCGGAACAUGCCCAGUCGUGGGGGAUAACACUUCGAAAGAAGUGCUAAUACCGCAUACGUCCUGAGGGAGAAAGCGGGGGAUCGCAAGACCUCGCGCGAUUGGAGUGGCCGAUGUCAGAUUAGCUAGUUGGUGGGGUAAAGGCCUACCAAGGCAACGACCUGUAGCUGGUCUGAGAGGAUGAUCAGCCACACUGGGACUGAGACACGGCCCAGACUCCUACGGGAGGCAGCAGUGGGGAAUUUUGGACAAUGGGGGCAACCCUGAUCCAGCCAUUCCGCGUGAGUGAAGAAGGCCUUCGGGUUGUAAAGCUCUUUCGGCAGGAACGAAACGGCGAGCUCUAACAUAGCUUGCUAAUGACGGUACCUGAAGAAGAAGCACCGGCUAACUACGUG
rnacentral:rRNA from 1 species